GCCCGGAUGGCGGAAUGGUAGACGCGGCGGCCUCAAAAGCCGCUGUCUGAAAGGGCGUGCGGGUUCGAGUCCCGCUCCGGGCA
rnacentral:tRNA from 1 species